AUCCUCUCUUUUGCUUUAUUGUUUUCUUUUCUUUAUAUCAAUUAUUUUGCCAGAUGUGUGUCCAUUAACCAUUGGUGUGCUUUUUUCUGUAGUUUGUCAAUGCUUUUCUCAAUACUUUAGUUAUUCAUUCACAACAUAACCGUGUAUUUUUAUUAAGCCUUAUCUCUUUACCAUUCACAACAUAGUUCUAAAAUUCAUUCAAGAUUUAGUUACAACUUCAUUCCUUGCUGCUUUUACUUUAACAAUAGAAGAUGGCUGCAACUUUGGUGGGAGGGGCUUUUCUCUCUGCUACUGUUCAGACUUUAGUUGAGAAACUUGCUUCACAAGAGUUUUGUGAUUACAUCAGAAACACCAAGCUGAAUUCCUCACUGUUGGCAGAGUUGGAAACAACACUGCUCGCUCUUCAGGCGGUUCUUGAUGAUGCAGAACAGAAGCAAAUCACCAACACUGCUGUCAAACAAUGGAUGGAUCAACUGAAAGAUGCAAUCUAUGAUGCUGAGGAUUUGCUUAACCAAAUCAAUUACGACUCCCUCCGAUGUAAGGUGGAGAAGAUACAAUCUGAAAACAUGACUAAUCAGGUUUGGAACCUCUUUUCAUGUCCUUUUAAAAAUCUCUAUGGAGAGAUCAAUUCACAAAUGAAGAUUAUGUGUCAAAGGCUGCAACUUUUUGCACAACAGAGAGAUAUCCUUGGCUUGCAAACUGUGAGCGGGAGAGUUUCUCUAAGAACGCCUUCAAGUUCAAUGGUAAAUGAAUCUGUUAUGGUUGGAAGGAAGGAUGAUAAAGAGAGACUCAUUAGUAUGUUGAUAUCUGACAGUGGCACUACCAAUAGUAGUAUUGGUGUGGUUGCAAUUUUGGGUAUGGGCGGUGUUGGCAAAACCACUCUUGCCCAACUUCUUUAUAAUGAUAAAGAAGUUCAAGACCAUUUUGAUCUGAAAGUCUGGGUUUGUGUAUCGGAGGAUUUCGAUAUUCUGAGAGUAACUAAAACCAUUCAUGAAUCUGUCACUUCAAGAGGUGGUGAAAACAAUAAUCUUGAUUUUCUUCGAGUUGAAUUGAAUCAAAACUUGAGGGAUAAAAGAUUUUUGUUAGUGCUGGACGAUCUGUGGAAUGAUAGUUAUAAUGAUUGGGAUGAGUUAGUAACUCCAUUGAUUAACGGCAAAACGGGAAGUAUGGUGAUCAUCACAACACGCCAACAAAAAGUUGCGGAGGUUGCACACACGUUUCCUAUUCACAAAGUAGAUCCUCUAUCAGAUGAUGACUGUUGGUCGUUACUUUCAAAGCAUGCAUUCGGAAGUGAAGACCGUCGAGGUAGAAAGUACCCAAAUCUAGAAGAAAUUGGUAGAAAGAUUGCCAAAAAGUGUGGUGGAUUGCCCAUAGCUCCUAAAACACUCGGAGGAAUUUUGCGUUCAAAGGUAGAUGCAAAAGAGUGGACUGCAAUUCUAAAUAGUGACAUAUGGAACUUACCAAAUGAUAAUAUUUUACCUGCUUUGCGUCUAAGUUAUCAAUAUCUUCCCUCACAUUUGAAAAGAUGUUUUGCCUAUUGCUCAAUUUUUCCGAAGGAUUUUCCACUGGACAAGAAGGAAUUGAUUUUGUUAUGGAUGGCAGAAGGCUUCCUAGAGCAUUCUCAACGUAAUAAAACAGCUGAGGAAGUAGGCCAUGACUACUUUAUUGAAUUGUUAUCCAGGUGCUUAAUUCAACAAUCAAAUGAUGAUGGAAAAGAAAAAUUUGUUAUGCAUGACCUUGUCAAUGAUUUAGCCUUAGUGGUGUCAGGAACAAGUUGCUUCAGGCUUGAAUGUGGUGGUAACAUGUCUAAAAAUGUACGUCAUUUGUCAUAUAAUCAAGGAUAUUACGACUUUUUCAAGAAGUUUGAGGUUCUCUACGAUUUCAAAUGGUUGCGGAGCUUUCUACCCGUUAACCUUAGUAUCGUGAAGGGAUCAUAUUGCUUAUCUAGUAAGGUUGUUGAAGAUUUAAUACCCAAACUCAAACGGUUACGUGUGCUAUCCUUAAAAAAUUAUCAAAACAUCAACCUGCUGCCAGAAUCAGUAGGUAGUUUGGUGGAGUUGAGGUAUUUAGAUCUCUCAUUCACUGGAAUUAAAAGCUUACCUAAUGCAACAUGCAAUCUUUACAAUCUGCAAACCUUGAAUUUAACACGGUGUGAAAACCUCACUGAGUUGCCACCAAAUUUUGGAAAGUUAAUUAACUUACGGCACCUUGAUAUCAGCGGGACAUGCAUAAAGGAGAUGCCAACGCAAAUUCUUGGACUCAAUAACCUGCAAACAUUAACUGUUUUUUCAGUUGGCAAGCAAGACACCGGGUUAAGUUUGAAAGAGGUUGGUAAGUUUCCUAACCUACGGGGAAAGCUUUGUAUCAAGAACCUGCAGAAUGUCAUCGAUGCCAUUGAGGCUUAUGAUGUCAACAUGAGAAACAAAGAUAUUGAGGAAUUAGAGUUACAAUGGAGCAAACAAACGGAAGACUCGCGAAUAGAGAAAGAUGUGCUUGAUAUGUUGCAACCAUCAUUUAACCUGAGGAAACUGAGCAUUAGCUUGUAUGGUGGGACAAGCUUUCCGAGUUGGUUGGGUGAUCCUUUUUUUUCUAACAUGGUGUCCUUGUGUAUCUCGAAUUGUGAAUAUUGUGUAACACUUCCAUCACUAGGUCAACUACCUUCUCUCAAGGACUUGACUAUUGAGGGUAUGACAAUGGAAACAAUUGGGCUAGAGUUCUAUGGCAUGACAGUAGAACCUUCCACUUCUUCAUUCAAACCAUUUCAGUAUCUCGAGUCUUUAAAAUUCUUUAGCAUGCCGAAUUGGAAGGAAUGGAUACACUAUGAAAGUGGUGAAUUUGGUUUUCCUCGCCUUAGAACUUUGCGCUUAAGCCAAUGUCCUAAACUAAGGGGGAAUUUGCCUAGCAGUCUUCCUUCAAUAGAUAAAAUCAAUAUAACUGGUUGUGACCGUCUCUUGACAACACCACCAACUACUUUGCAUUGGCUCUCCUCAUUAAACAAAAUAGGUAUAAAAGAGUCUACAGGAAGUUCCCAAUUGUUGUUACUUGAAAUUGAAUCUCCCUGUUUGCUACAAAGUGUAAAAAUCAUGUAUUGUGCUACCCUGUUUUCGUUACCCAAAAUUAUUUGGAGCAGCAUUUGUCUUCGAUUCUUGGAACUUUGUGAUCUUCCAUCUCUCGCUGCUUUUCCAACAGAUGAUCUACCCACUUCAUUGCAGUCACUUAGAAUUUCUCAUUGUCCGAAUUUAGCAUUCCUGCCACUUGAAACAUGGGGCAAUUACACAUCUCUUGUGGCUUUGCACUUAUUGAAUAGUUGUUAUGCACUUACCUCAUUCCCUUUGGAUGGUUUCCCAGCCCUCCAAGGUCUUUACAUUGAUGGCUGUAAAAAUCUGGAAUCCAUUUUUAUUUCAGAAAGUUCUUCCCAUCUCCCGUCAACCCUCCAAUCAUUUAGGGUAGAUAAUUGUGAUGCACUUAGAUCAUUGACUCUACCAAUAGACACCCUGAUCUCUCUUGAACGUUUGUCUCUCGAAAAUCUUCCAGAACUAACUUUACCAUUUUGUAAAGGAACUUGCCUACCUCCCAAAAUACGAAGUAUUUAUAUUGAAUCAGUGAGAAUAGCAACGCCUGUAGCUGAAUGGGGUCUCCAACAUCUUACUUCUCUUUCAAGUUUGUAUAUUGGAGGUUACGAUGAUAUUGUUAACACCUUGCUGAAGGAGCGGUUGCUGCCAAUUUCACUUGUGUCUUUGUAUAUUUCUAAUCUCUGUGAAAUAAAAUCCAUUGAUGGAAAUGGACUCCGACACCUAUCCUCUCUUGAAACACUUUGUUUUUAUAAUUGUCCAAGGCUUGAGUCUCUUUCAAAAGACACUUUUCCAUCCUCUCUUAAGAUACUGCGCAUCAUUGAAUGUCCUCUGUUAGAAGCAAACUAUAAAAGUCAGAGGUGGGAACAUUUGUCCAUCCCAGUCUUGGAAAUAAAUAACGAAGUGAUAAUAUGAGGGAACGGACAGAAAAUUUGUAAUCCUGUUUCAGGUUUGUCAUCGGUAAGGCGUGCAAAGUCCAUACACAGAGAUUUGGUUAUAAGAACAAGAGUUGCUGGCAACAUAAAUAAGCUAAAUUAGAUUACCGAAAUUGGCAUCGGGGAGAAUCGAACCUCGGACCUUGAGGAGGAACGCACUCCAAGGUCCUAAGUCAACAUCACCCGUCAAUCCAAGUAAUUCAUGAUGUCGGUGGAUACUUUCUCGCAGAAACUGUCAAAAUACCGUUUUCAUCAAUUGAGAAACGUUUGCUGAUAGGAUGGCAACGAAGGAAAGUCUCAGGAAAGGGCUUACUAUCUCUGCUUGAAGACCUACUAGACAGCAUGAAUCAAACAAUUUUUAGGGAAUUAGAUUUCUCACAUAAGUUUAAUUUUUCUCACAUAAGUCCAGAAAUGAGAAGCCAUCUACAAAUGUAAAUCAACAUUGUCUAAUUUUUCUCUUUGUAGAUUGUAUUGAAGAAACCAUAGAGUUAUUUUUGAAUCAGAAGUCAGUAUUGUAUAUAUUAA